rnacentral:rRNA from 1 species
UAUCAAGGUGACAGGUGGUGCAUGGUGNGGGUCAGUUAGUGUCGUGAGAUGUAUGGUUAAGUCCCAUAACGAGCGCAACCNUCAUCCUUAUUUNCUAACAUUUAGUUGAGAACUAUAAGGAAACUGCAGUCGUAAGAUAGAGGAAGGUGGGGAUGACGUCNAAUCAUCAUGCCCCUUAUAUUCAGGGCUACACACGUNNUACANGNNNUGAGACAAAGGGAAGCUAACCCGCGAGGGGGUGCAAAUCUCAUCAAANUCAAUCUCANUUUGGAUNG